AUCAAGAUCAAACUUUCUUCCUGAUUUCCUAGAUUGGUUGAAAGAAGAAAACAUGCUUAUGUUUAGAAAUAGAGUCCUGGCACUGUGGAAGAAAGAACGCACGGGAAUUACUAGGUCAAGCUCAGAUCCCGUCUGCUCAUUCAUUCAUUCAUUCAUUCCGAACUCAGCCUUUGGAGAGAUAGCCAUAUCAACAAACAUGCAAAAUAUGCAAGAUGAAGUGUGCUGUACCCCGGUUACUUCCUGAGUCAGAGGAAGAGAAAACAAGGCGUUCUCUCUGGAGGAAUCACGGAAGACCUUCCACCCUUAACAGGAGGCAUUUGAGAAGAUAGAGGAACACGUUAAAUGACACCAGCAAGUUCAUAGGCGAGUACAGAGUAUAAGACGUUCUGCAAGACAACUAACCCAGAUUCUGCAGGAAAGAAAAAAAGGAGGUACACGACUCUGGGUUACAGGAGACCUAAAAGGUGUAAUAAUCCAAUGUGCUGUGCGACCUCUCCUGAACGCUAACAAGAAUUUUUUUCAACAUUAUUGGGCAAAGAUGAUUAUGAGCUUGGGAUUGGGUGACACGAGAAAAGUGACUGUAAGUUUUGUGGGGAGCGAUAAUGACACUGGGUCUUUCAGAAAAUAUCCUUAUCUUUAGAGAGGUAGAAGAAAUAUGCAAGGUGUUAGCAAUUUGGUUUAAAAGUUGGUUUUGAAAAUAUUUUAGCCAAUGAAAGGGGACAAAGAAGUGAAACAAAAGGGUAAACAUUUUUUUGAAUUAUAGCUGAAUCUGGGUGAUAGGUAUUCUAUUCUUUCUUGCUUGCUCAUGUUUGAAGUAGAACAUGUAAAAACAAUAGAAGAAAAACAGGAAGAGGAGGAGGAGGAGAAGAGAAAUUAUCAUUAUCAACAUACAUUUGGCAUUUUAUGUAUUGGAGACUUUUUUUAAAGUUCAGUUUUGCAAUAUUUUUAAAAAAAUUUUUUUUAACGUUUAUUUAUUUUUGAGACAGAGACAGACAGAGCAUGAACAGGGGAGGGUCAGAAAGAGAGGAAGACACAGAAUCCGAAGCAGGCUCCAGGCUCUGAGCUGUCAGCACAGAGCCCGAAGUGGGGCUCGAACUCACAAACCGCGAGAUCAUGACCUGAGCCGAAGUCGGACGCUUAACCGACUGAGCCACCCAGGGGCCCCAAUUUUGCAAUAUUUUUAAGUUCAAUUCAAUAUACUUAUUUCUUAAGAGCUACUUAAGUACUUGAGACGGUUUUGUGUAACUCUAACCAUCAAAGUACCUAGAAAGGAAAUAAAAUACAAGACAUUUAAAAAUGGUGGCCUGUUAGAAUGAUGCAUUCGAUUGAAAUGUUUUAAGUUUCUAGGAGAAAACAAAUAUUACUGAACGUUCUCUCAAAAGUUAUUAGAAAUAUGAGUUUCGCAUAAAUAAAAUGAUAGAAUUUCUAAAAUAAACUAUGAUUUUGAAGUUACAAUGUUAAUAAUUGAAUAUGAAUUCUUAGAGGACAAACCAACCUGAACAAUCAUUUCUGCACACAAAAGCUACCCUUGAGGGCACUAAAAACUCACAUCAGUGGUGCCGUUUAAAGAAGAAGAAGAAAAUAACAGUGCACCCAUCCUUCCUCGUGUUUUCAUAUUGCUGGAUUGAAUCGUCAUAUUUAAAAUUUUUUAAUGUGUAUUUAUUUUUGAGAGAGAGAGGGACAGAGACAGGGCGCAAGCAGGGGAGGGGCAGAGAGAGAGGGAGACACAGAAUCCAAGGCAGGCUCCGGGCUCCGAGCUGUCAGCACAGAGCCUGACACGGGGCUCAAGCUCAUAGAACAGGAGAUCAUGACCUGAGCCAAGGUCAGAUGCUCAGCUGACUAAGCCACCCAGGUGCCCCGAAUCUUCUUCUUUUUUUUUUUUUUUAAUGUUUAUUUAUUUUUAAGACAGAGACAAUGAGCCAAAUGCGGAGGGGCAGAGAGAGAGAGAAGAAGACAGAGGAUCCAAGGCGGGUUCCAGGCUCUGAGCGGUCAGCACAGAGCCUUAUGUGGGGCUCGAACUCGUCAACCACAAGAUCAUGACCUGAGCCAAAGUCCAACGCUCAACCGACUGAGCCGCCCAGUCCAGGUGGAUGUGGGGCCUUCGUGAUGUCUUGAACCAGGGUCGAUCUUGUCCUACCGACCUCCGUUCAUGGCUUCCAUCCACGAUGUCAGAUGGCUCACACACGGCUCACCACUGCCUCCAUACUCGGGCCAGCAGAAAGGAGAAGGAAU